rnacentral:rRNA from 1 species
UACGAAGGGGGCUAGCGUUGCUCGGAAUCACUGGGCGUAAAGGGUGCGUAGGCGGGUCAUUAAGUCCGGGGUGAAAUCCUGGAGCUCAACUCCAGAACUGCCUUUGAUACUGAAGAUCUUGAGUUCGGGAGAGGUGAGUGGAACUGCGAGUGUAGAGGUGAAAUUCGUAGAUAUUCGCAAGAACACCAGUGGCGAAGGCGGCUCACUGGCCCGAUACUGACGCUGAGGCACGAAAGCGUGGGGAGCAAACAGG